GAUCCGCUAGCUCAGUUGGCAGAGCAACUGCCUUUUAAGCAGUGGGUCCGGGGUUCGAAUCCCCGGCGGGUCA
rnacentral:tRNA from 1 species